rnacentral:rRNA from 1 species
AGACCCGAAACCCGGUGAUCUAGCCAUGGGCAGGUUGAAGGUUGGGUAACACUAACUGGAGGACCGAACCGACUAAUGUUGAAAAAUUAGCGGAUGACCUGUGGCUGGGGGUGAAAGGCCAAUCAAACCGGGAGAUAGCUGGUUCUCCCCGAAAGCUAUUUAGGUAGCGCCUCGUGAAUUCAUCUCCGGGGGUAGAGCACUGUUUCGGCUAGGGGGCCAUCCCGGCUUACCAACCCGAUGCAAACUGCGAAUACCGGAGAAUGUUAUCACGGGAGACACACGGCGGGUGCUAACGUCCGUCGUGAAGAGGGAAACAACCCAGACCGCCAGCUAAGGUCCCAAAGUCAUGGUUAAGUGGGAAACGAUGUGGGAAGGCCCAGACAGCCAGGAUGUUGGCUUAGAAGCAGCCAUCAUUUAAAGAAAGCGUAAUAGCUCACUGGUCGAGUCGGCCUGCGCGGAAGAUGUAACGGGGCUAAACCAUGCACCGAAGCUGCGGCAGCGAACGUAUCACUUAAAGCGAUUCAGCGGGUUACGAUUGACGGAGCGAAGCGACGUCAAAGCGUAUACAAAGUCGAGUCGGUUUAAGGAUACGUUCGUUGGGUAGGGGAGCGUUCUGUAAGCCUGUGAAGGUGUGUCGUGAGGCAUGCUGGAGGUAUCAGAAGUGCGAAUGCUGACAUAAGUAACGAUAAAGCGGGUGAAAAGCCCGCUCGCCGGAAGACCAAGGGUUCCUGUCCAACGUUAAUCGGGGCAGGGUGAGUCGACCCCUAAGGCGAGGCCGAAAGGCGUAGUCGAUGGGAAACGGGUUAAUAUUCCCGUACUUGGUGUUACUGCGAAGGGGGGACGGAGAAGGCUAUGUUGGCCGGGCGACGGUUGUCCCGGUUUAAGCGUGUAGGCUGGUUUUCCAGGCAAAUCCGGAAAAUCAAGGCUGAGGCGUGAUGACGAGGCACUACGGUGCUG